AUGUCACACAGAUGAUAAAGAGCAAGGAUAGACCUCUUCAUUUCAUGUUUGAGGCAAUUCUCUAAGACAGCUGAUUUCUCCAGAGCUGGUAGGUAAGUAUCUACCUCCCAGAAUGCAAUGUGUCCAGAGAUUAUAAUAAGUGAAAUAUUGGAUUGCCAAUAUUCUUUUCUCUUGUCCUUCUACGCUUGGAUUCUUUUUUUAAGUUUAUUCCCCACUGUAGGAGACAGACUUGCUCACGUGAUAGAUCCGGCCAUGAUAUUGUCCCUAAGAGAACGAGAUGCUCUUUGCAGAAGACAUAGAAGAUUCCUGAAACUGGGAAAGGGGCCUAGAAACCUGGAGAAGAGUGAAGAAGGCAUUUUCCCUCCCCUGCUUAGGCAUCUGCCACCAUAUUCAAUACUUUCUCCAGGGUUCUCAGGUUUCCCAUUGGCUUGGAAUUUGUCAAUUAGUUUUGCUGGCUGGACAGAAAGCCACACGGAUCCUCUUGUCUUGGUCUCCUGACAUUUGGAUUAAAGUCACCUGGAGGUGCAGGCCAUCGCUAUGUUAAACCUAUGAGGUGAUGAUAAACCACACAA
rnacentral:lncRNA from 1 species